GCGGGGCUGUAACACAGGUGUAGUGCAGGUGUAGCGGGGCUGUAACACAGGUGUAGUGCAGAUAUAUAAUGCAGGUGUAGUGGGGGUGUAAUAGGUAUAGUGCAGGUGUAGCAGGGGUGUAACACAGGUGUAGUGCAGAUAUAUAAUGCAGGUGUAGUAGGGGUGUAACACAGGUGUAGUGCAGAUAUAUAAUGCAGGUGUAGUAGGGGUGUAACACAGGUGUAGUGCAGAUAUAUAAUGCAGGUGUAGUAGGGGUGUAACACAGGUGUAGUGCAGAUAUAUAAUGCAGGUGUAGUAGGGGUGUAACACAGGUGUAGUGCAGAUAUAUAAUGCAGGUGUAGUAGGGGUGUAACACAGGUGUAGUGCAGAUAUAUAAUGCAGGUGUAGUAGGGGUGUAACACAGGUGUAGUGCAGAUAUAUAAUGCAGGUGUAGUAGGGGUGUAACACAGGUGUAGUGCAGAUAUAUAAUGCAGGUGUAGUAGGGGUGUAACACAGGUGUAGUGCAGAUAUAUAAUGCAGGUGUAGUAGGGGUGUAACACAGGUGUAGUGCAAGUGUAGCGGGGCUGUAACACAGGUGUAGUGCAGAUAUAUAAUGCAGGUGUAGUGGGGGUGUAAUAGGUAUAGUGCAGGUGUAGCAGGGGUGUAACACAGGUGUAGUGCAGGUGUAGCAGGGGUGUAACACAGGUGU